UACGGGGGGGGCAAGCGUUGUUCGGAAUUACUGGGCGUAAAGGGCUCGUAGGCGGCCAACUAAGUCAGACGUGAAAUCCCUCGGCUUAACCGGGGAACUGCGUCUGAUACUGGAUGGCUUGAGGUUGGGAGAGGGAUGCGGAAUUCCAGGUGUAGCGGUGAAAUGCGUAGAUAUCUGGAGGAACACCGGUGGCGAAGGCGGCAUCCUGGACCAAUUCUGACGCCGAGGAGCGAAAGCCAGGGGAGCAAACGGG
rnacentral:rRNA from 1 species